rnacentral:tRNA from 1 species
GUCUCGGUAGUCUAAAUGCUUCGGACGCUCGCACGGAAUGCAAGAGAUCCGGGUUCGACUCCCGGCCGAGGCA